rnacentral:rRNA from 1 species
AACGAACGCUGGCGGCAGGCUUAACACAUGCAAGUCGAACGCAUCCUUCGGGGUGAGUGGCAGACGGGUGAGUAACGCGUGGGAACGUGCCCUUCAGUUCGGGAUAACCCAGGGAAACUUGGGCUAAUACCGGAUACGUGCGAGAGCAGAAAGAUUUAUCGCUGAAGGAUCGGCCCGCGUCUGAUUACCUAGUUGGUGGAGUAAUGGCCCACCAAGGCGACGAUCAGUAGCUGGUCUGAGAGGAUGAUCAGCCACAUUGGGACUGAGACACGGCCCAAACUCCUACGGGAGGCAGCAGUGGGGAAUAUUGGACAAUGGGCGCAAGCCUGAUCCAGCCAUGCCGCGUGAGUGAUGAAGGCCUUAGGGUUGUAAAGCUCUUUCGUCCGGGACGAUAAUGACGGUACCGGAAGAAGAAGCCCCGGCUAACUUCGUGCCAGCCGCCGCAGUAA